rnacentral:rRNA from 1 species
CCUACGGGAGGCAGCAGUGAGGAAUAUUGUUCAAUGGACGGAAGUCUGAACCAGCCAUGCCGCGUGCAGGAAGACGGCUCUAUGAGUUGUAAACUGCUUUUGUACAAGGGUAAACCUGAAUACGUGUAUUCAGAUGAAAUUACUGUACGAAUAAGGAUCGGCUAACUCCGUGCCAGCAGCCGCGGUAAUACUGAGGAUCCAAGCGUUAUCCGGAUUUAUUGGGUUUAAAGGGUGCGUAGGCGGAUUGAUAAGUUAGAGGUGAAAUGUCCGAGCUUAACUCGGGAACUGCCUCUAAUACUGGUGAUCGUGAGAGUAGAUGCGGUAGGCGGAAUGUAUGGUGUAGCGGUGAAAUGCUUAGAGAUCAUACAGAACACCGAUUGCGAAGGCAGCUUACCAAUCUAUAUCUGACGUUGAGGCACGAAAGCGUGGGGAGCAAACAGGAUUAGAUACCCGGGUAGUC